AUCAGGAAAGGAAUGCUUGAUGAAGCUCUUAACGUGAUGAGGAAAAUGGUGCGUGAAAAUAUAUUGCCAAAUGUUUUUAUUUAUGCUGCACUAAUUGAUGGAUAUUUCAAGGCAGGUCAAGAACUAGUUGCUAUUGAUCUGUAUAAUGAAAUGAAACUGGCAGGAUUAGAGGAAAACAAUUUUAUACUUGAUGCUUUUGUGAACAACUUGAAAAGUGCUGGAAGGAUGGGGGAAGCUGAGGUUUUAGUUAAAGAUAUGAUGUCCAAGGGCUUGUCACUUGACCAUGUAAACUAUACAUCUCUGAUGGAUGGCUUUUUCAAAGAAGGACAGGAUUCAGCUGCUCUUACCUUGGCCAAGGAAAUGACUGAGAAGAAUAUACCAUUUGAUGUUGUUGUGUACAACGUCUUAAUUAAUGGUCUUUUGAGGCUUGGAAAAUAUGAGGCACAAUCUGUUUAUGCUAGAAUGAGAGAGUUGGAUCUGGCUCCGGACGUCAUUACAUGCAAUACCAUGAUUAAUGCAUACUGCAAAGAGGGCAAGUUUGAAGAUGCAUUAAACCUCUGGGAUGACAUGAAGAGUUGUGGUUUAAUGCCAAACUCCAUAACUUGUAACAUUCUGAUCAGAGGUCUUUGUAGAGCUGGUGAAAUUCAAAAAGCUCUAAAUGUUUUGAAUGAGAUGCUGGUUUUAGGCUUUUCACCUACCACUGCCAUUCACAAAUUUCUGCUUGAUGCAUCCUCUAGGAAUGGAAGGGCUGAUGCCAUUUUGCUAAUGCAUGAACGUCUUGUUUCCAUGGGACUUAAACUUAAUCAGGCAGUUUUCAACACUCUCAUCACUGUCUUAUGCAGACUAGGGAUGACCGAGAAAGCCAUUUCAGCUUUAAACGAUAUGACACGAAGAGGGUAUUCAGCUGACACAAUAACUUAUAAUGCGCUUAUAAAUGGAUAUUGCAGAGGCAGUCAUAUAGAGAAGGCUUUUGCUACAUAUUCUCAAAUGUUAAGGGAAGGAGUUCCACCAAAUAUUGUCACUUACAAUCUGCUUCUGAGAGGUCUCUCCACUGCCGGUUUGAUGAAAGAAGCAGAUGAAUUAUUUAGCCAAAUGAAAGAAAAAGGCUUGAACCCUAACGCUUCAACAUAUGAUACAUUGAUAUCUGGCCAUGGGAAAAUGUCCCAAGCUAGAGAGCUUCUUAAGGAGAUGCAAUUGAGGGGAGCAUUGCCCAAUUCUUCAACUUAUGACAUACUGAUCGCUGGUUGGUGCAACCUCUCUGACCAGCCAGAGCUGGACAGGGCAUCAAAAUUAUCAUGCCUAGCUGAGGUGAAAAAAUUACUUCUGGAAGUGAAAGAUAGACAGUUUUUACCAUGUGAAAGUACUCUUUCCAAUAUCAGUUCUGCCUUUGCAAAACUAGGAAAGAAGUUAAAUGCUCAGAAGGGACUAUACAUGGGAAAGAACAUAUAAGAAAUAAGCUAAAUACAAACAGGGGAUUCCUUCAAUUUGGAUAGGCAACUUUCUUGAUCUUCAUUAGCUCUUCAUUUGGAAACCUGGGUUCAGUUCUUUGUGCAUGGUAUGCUCUUACUGCAUUGCUUUUAGCAUACAGAUGUCAUGUUGCUGCUUCCAUCUCUGAUAAGCAGUGAUGCUGGCAAUCAAAACUAUUCUCUGUUUCUAUCACUUUGAAUUAUUCGCAUGUAGACUGUAAGACAGGUUUAAUGACAGUCACGCAUGCAUUUUCUUUAGUCCUUUUUUUCUUCUUAGGAAUCUUUCCAUUGACAUUUUAUUAGCAAUUUGCAAGCAUUAUGCAAGGACUAUCUCGAUUAACCACUGACAUGUUAGGCCUUUCUACAGUCAUUACAGUGCAUGGUGAUGUUCAAGGUUUUCAUUUGUGGACGUGUUCUUUGUCCAACAGAGUGGUAAAAAAUUUCCAUUGCAUAAGAAGAGCAAUGCAUUCACUGUUGGAUUCAGCGUCAGGCAUAUGGUUUUCAGAGGCAAGAUUUUGUACAUCAUCUUUCAGUCAGUACUGUCUUCUGGUAAAAAAUUUCCAUUGUAUGAGAAGAGUAACGUAUUCACUGUUGGAUUCAGCUUCUGGGAAAUGGUUUUCAGAGGCAAGAUUUCAUACUGUCUUUCAUUAUUUCAUGAUAGUGUACUGAUAAUACUUUGCAACCAAACCUUUGUAAUCAGUAUGCACUCAAUUCGUGGCACCUAUGUGUGUCACAUAUUGCUGGACAAGACCCAGGGCAAUGUUUCUCCGCUAGUAAUGAAGGUCCUAGGCUGCUUCAGAACUAAUUCAGCAUUCUGAGAUUGUCAGUGCAUGGGAUAGUAUUCAAGACAUUUCAAUGCUUAAAGCUUGAUUUUGUAUGAGCCAACUAUGGAGGUGAUAAAUGCAUAUCUUGAUCACGGGAGAGGACUAGCGGGACAUUGGACUCAAAGCUUUUCAGUUAUCCCGUCUGUUCAACUUUCAGUUAGAGAGGAAGGCUUCAUAGCUUGGUCAGUGCACUUGUUUAUUAUAUUUGAACAAAACAUAUUGUUGGGCUGACAAUCUGAUGCUCGUGGUAAUUCUGAUGUAUAACUUUUAAUUGAUGUUGUUUUUGCUAAAUCAUGGGCGAUUGAGCGUCCUGUCCUUGUGCUGUCUAUAUCCUUAAAAGUGGAUUUCAUGCAGAUGAAACAUCUCCUAUAACUAAAAGGAUGCAUCUUCUCCUUUUCCUUGUAUCCUCUCGAAGACUAUAAAAGAGGUUUCAAGUCUGAUAAUGCUAUUAUUUUAUUU